GACGAACGCUGGCGGCGUGCCUAACACAUGCAAGUCGAACGGGGCUCUUUGGAUCGAGACUUCGGUCAAGUGAAUCUGAGCUUAGUGGCGGACGGGUGAGUAACGCGUGAGCAACCUGCCUUUCAGAGGGGGACAACAGUUGGAAACGACUGCUAAUACCGCAUAACGUGUCGAGGAGGCAUCUCCUUGACACCAAAGAUUUAUCGCUGAAAGAUGGGCUCGCGUCUGAUUAGCUAGUUGGUAAGGUAACGGCUUACCAAGGCAACGAUCAGUAGCCGACCUGAGAGGGUGACCGGCCACAUUGGGACUGAGACACGGCCCAA
rnacentral:rRNA from 1 species